rnacentral:lncRNA from 1 species
GCAAAUGAUGCGUAACUUUUUCAUUCAAUGAUGGUGUGUAUUUAUACAUAGUGAAACGACAGAAAACUUGUCCGUUCGCUAAAGACGGUUUCCUCGUCGUAGGAGAGAGGGAAAAGGUGCCUGUUCGGAAACAGGAUUUACAUAAAGGAAUAUUAUUAACACUAAUCCUAUUAACUAAUGACCGUCGAUCUUGUUAAUCUCCACCUUUGAUAUUAAGUGUGUUUCUUCCUCCGGAUUGCUGACGUGGACGAAAUCAUUUUAUCCUUAACACUCCCCCUUGAUUGAGUCCAUCAAAUGAAAAUCCUGCAUUUUAAAAUUUCUACUAUACCUCAUAUCACCUUACAAAAACCCUGUGGGAAAAUUAAGAGUGAUAUGGUAUACGCUUGUAUUAAUAUUGUCUCAUUAAAAACUUUAUAUGAUAAAAACUCUUUGUGAGAGAAAAACCACAUAAAGAAAAGAGUGCAAUAUGAUGUGAACUUGUUAUGUAUCAGUGAGAGUUACUCCUCCUGAAUUUUGCAGGUCUCUAAGUCUUCUCAUACCUAUACCUUCAACAUAUUUUGAAAAUGUGGAGUAAGGUAGGGACUUAGUGAAUAAAUCUGCGAGAUUGUCGCAUGAUUUAGUCUGCAAAAUAUUUAUUUCUCCAUCCUUUUGUAAUUCAUGAGGGAAAAAUAAUUUUGGAGCUAUAUGCUUAGUGAUAUUGCUCUUAAUAUAACCAGUUUCCAUCUGAAUAACACAAGCUGCAUUAUCUUCAUAGAUAAUGGUAGGUGAUUCUAUUGAACCUAUACCACAAGAUUGUAGUAUAUGAUUAAUCAUUCUACGAAGCCAUACACAUUCUUUGGAAGCUUCAUAUAAAGCAAUUAUUUCAGAAUGAUUUGUGGAAGUGGCUACCAAAGUUUGUUUGGUUGAUUUCCAAGAGAUAGCUGUUCCACCAUAUAAAUAAACAAAGCCUGUUUGAGAUCUGGCAUUGUGAGGAUCUGAAAGAUAGCCAGCAUCUGUAUAUCCAAUUAAAGUCGAGUCUUGGCCUCUUGCGUAAAAAAGACCAAAAUCUCUUGUACCAUUGAGAUAUCUAAGGAUAUGUUUUACUCCUGCCCAAUGACGUUUAGUAGGAGCAGCGCUGUAUCUUGCAAGUAGAUUCACUGCAAAUGCAAUGUCCGGCCGGGUACUAUUUGCUAAAUACAUAAGCGCACCAAUUGCACUUAGAUAUGGGUAAUUUGAACCCAAAAUCUCUUCUUUCUCCUCUCUAGGUCGGAAUGGGUCUUUCUCCAUGUCAAGAGAUCUCACAACCAUAGGAGUUUUGGAGGGAUAUGAAUUAUCCAUAUUAAAUUUCUCCAAUAUUUUUUGGACAUAGGCUUCUUGAUAUACGAAUAUGCCAGAGGGCAAAUGCUCAAGUUGUAAACCCAAGCAAAAUUUGGUUUUACCCAAAUCUUUCAUUUCAAAUUCCGUCUUUAGAUGAUGACGUGCUUCAUUUAUAUCAAUAUCACUUCCAAUGAUGUUAAGGUCAUCAACAUAUACUGAUAUGAUGCAAAAACCUGAUGUGGAUUUCUUAAUGAAAACACAUGGACAAUCAUCAUUAUUAGUGUAUCCCUUUUUAGAAAGGAAAAUACUUAAGCGUUUGUACCACAUACGCCCUGAUUGUUUUAAGCCAUACAAUGACUUUUGCAAUUUUACACAAUACAUGUUACGAUUUGCCUUUGGAUCCGGUACAUUUAUUCCAUCCGGAACCUUCAUGUAUAUAUCUGAAUCUAAUGACCCAUAUAGGUAUGCGGUCACGACGUCCAUCAACUGCAUAGAUAGACGAUUUUGUACUGCCAGAGAUAUUAAAUAUCGGAAAGUGAUGCCACUCAUCACUGGGGAAUAGGUUUCUGUAUAAUCUAUUCCAGGUUUUUGAGAAAAACCUUGUGCUACUAGCCUUGCUUUGUAUCUCACCACUUCAUUUUUCUCAUUUCGUUUUCGAAUGAAGACCCAUUUGUAUCCAACAGGGAAGACACCACGAGGUGUUGACAUGACUUCCGAGAAUACUUUUCUUUUAUAAAGCGAGGCAAUUUCUGUUUGUAUUGCUUCUUUCCACUGAUUCCAGUCCGAGCGCUUUUUGCACUCAACCAUGGAUUUAGGAUCUGGAUCAUUUAUAAUAUCAGCAAUUUGUUCAGAAAAAUAUAUGUCGACAAUAGUAGACUUUCUAUCAUAUGAUUUUCCAGUUUCGAUGUAGUUUGUGGCAAGUUCAUUUAUUUUCAAAGAUUCAUCAAGAUUUCCCUUAUCAAUGAUCCUUGUGUUUUCCGAUGGCCCUUGUUCAUUAAUAUGUGCACUUGAAAAGGGCUGUGGAUUUAUUCCACUUUUACUAAUUUUAGAUUGACGUGCAUUUACUAUCUUUCUCUGUUUUUCAACAGAUUGAUUUUGCUUUGUAGCCAUGUCUCUCCCCCUCUUGCCUGUAUUAGGGGUUGAGGUGGUUUUCUUUGGUACCUCCACUCGGGCAGUAGCAUUCCUUGCAGGAAUUAAAGAUUUAAUAACUCCUUUAUAAUCAGUAAAUGCAUCUGGCAGUUGAUUUGCAAAAUUUUGCAAACCAAUUAUCUUUUGAACUUGAAGUUCAGUUUCAUUUGUACGUGGAUCUGAGGAAGAGAUUCUAUUUGUAUCCCAAUUUAUUUCGCGGCAUUCUUUUUGGUACACUAAUUCUCCCCCUAAUGCCGGGAAAUGUUCCUCAUUAAAUAUUGAAUCAGCAAACCGGGCUGUAAAUAGAUCCCCUGUUAGAGGUUCUAAGUAUUUAAUAAUCGACGGAGAUUGAUAACCCACAUAGAUCCCUAUUUUUCUGUGGGGGCCCAUAGCGGUUUGCUGUGGUGGUGAGAUCGGUAUGUAUACAGCACAACCGAAUUUACGCAGGUGGGAAAUUCUUGGUGGAUCACCUCGUACUAAUUGUAUGGGAGAAUAAUCAUGAUAUGCAGUUGGUCGUAGUUGGAUUAAGUCAGCAGCGUGUAAAACCGCAUGACCCCAACAUGACGAAGGCAAAGAGCAAUUUAUCAGUAAUGGACGAGCAAUUAGUUUGAUUCUCUUAAUCAAUGAUUCAGCCAAACCAUUUUGAGUAUGGACAUAUGGAAUGGAAUGUUGUACGUCAAUUCCCAAAGCCAUGCAAUAAUCAUUGAAAGCAUGGGAGGAAAAUUCAGCUGCAUUAUCCAAUCGAAUUGAUUUAAUCCUAUGUUCAGGGUGAUUUGCUUUGAGUCUAAUGAUUUGAGACAUUAUUUUAGCAAAUGCAUGGUUUCGUGUGGAUAAUAAGCACACAUGUGACCAUCUUGUAGAUGCGUCAAUCAAAACCAUAAAGUAUCUGAAUGGUCCUGAACUAGGUUCGAUUGGUCCACAAAUAUCACCUUGAAUUCUUUCAAGGAAUUGAAGUGGUUCGGUUCUGAUUUUAAGAUUUGAUGGCCUCAAAAUUAAUUUCCCAGUAGCGCAGGCAGUGCAUACAUAAUCCGAAGAUUGGGGAAAUUUUGCUUCGUUUAAAUCAUGACCGAUAGAAUUGCUUAUAAUCUUUCUCAUCAUCCCUAUGCCAGGAUGCCCAAGUCGAUCAUGCCAAAUUUUGAAGGCAUCGACAUUUUGAAAGAUUACUUUAUAUGUAAUAUGUUUUAUAGGUUUGAUGUAUGUAUAAUACAAUCCAGAAUCUAGAGAUGGAAUUUUUUCGCAUAUUUGUUUGCCAUAUCCAGUUAGUUUGGUAAGUAUAAGAAAUUCUUCUUUAUUUUCGGCAUGUGUUUCCACAUGAAUACCAUUCUUACGGAUAUCUUUAUAACUCAACAAGGUACGCGUUGAAUCGGGGUACAAUAAUGCAUCCUCGAUUAUAAUCUGCGUGCCCAUUGGUAGAGUGAUAAUGGCUCGUCCAGAACCAACUAUCAAAGCAUCUCUACCGGCUAUUGUUAAAACAUUUCCUUCUUUUCUUUUGAUAGUUUGAAAAUAUUUUAUUUCUGUGAGUAUAGUGUUUGUGGUGCAACUAUCCACAAGACAUAAUUCCUCUUCUGUUGGAUUGUCUUCGGUUGACAUCUAUAUAAAGAACAAGAAUUUUGAAUAUAAUUCUUUAUUCAUUUCAUAUACUAAAUAUACAUACAUGUAUAUAAAAUAUUACAUGCAACAAAGUGUAACAAUACAAUACUUAUAUGUUCUUACAAUAAAUAUACUAUACUAAAAACAUCUUAGUUAUUACAACACAAAUGUUUACACAAACUGGGCAUGAGAUCUUAUUAGAUAUGUGAUCUAAAAGUCUCAAAUCAUGUCGUUGACAUUGUAAUCAACGAUCAUGUCGUCGAGAAGAUUUUCUGGCUGAGUAGGAACAUUGUUGGUCGGUGACUCCUUAGGAAUCUCAAGCGAGCAACCAUCCUGCUUAUUUUCCUCAUUUGCCUGAUUGAAGUGUGCUUCAUAUCGUGUCUUCUUGUUCUUGCUCUCUUUGGAAUAUUUCAUAUAAAGAUCAACCAAGUGCUUUGGUGUACGACAAGUAGCCGCAAAGUGAGUAUUACAACCACACUUGUAACAAUGUUUUGGCUUAUUUCCAUGGGAUUGUUUAUCUCCACGGACUUUCUUGUGUACAUGUUGUUUAUGGUUUUUGUGAAAAACACGAUUACGAUGUUGACCACUAGUUGAGUUCUUUUGAUUUCCAGGUGGAAAUGCAAAAGUCUUUUUAUGUCUUGAAGCUUUAUUCUGAACAUUAUGGACUUCAGGCAGAGGGGUUGCACCAAUCGGGCGCAUAUGAUGGUUCUUUAAUAGAAGUUCAUCAUUUCUUUCUGCCUGAUCUAAUGAGUGAAUAAGCUUGGCAUAAACUAUGUGGUUUUCCUUGCGAUAUUGGUUACAAAGAACUCUGUCCGCAGGAUGCAUCGUAUUUAGUGUUUUGCGAAUUUUCUCCUCAUCAGAUGGUUCUUUUUCACAAAAACGUAGUUUAGUGCAUAUGUUAUGAACUGCAUGAUUGUAUUCACCGAUAGAUUUAAAAUCUUGUAAGCGCAGGUGAUUCCAUUCAUGUUCAGCUGUUGGAAGUACCAAUUCCUUUUGGUGUUCAUAACGUUCUUUAAGUGCAUUCCAUAAUGUUUGAGGGUUUUCCUCUAACAGAUAUUCUCUUUUAAGAUCUGGAUGUAUGGAUUGCCUUAAGAGUAAUAAUGCAGUAAACUUGGUUUUAUCAUCAAUAGGUUCCUCAUUUAGUUGAGGUGCAGAGAUUGCAUUUAGAAUUCCUUUGGAGGCAAGAACAAUUUUGAUAUCUGUUGCCCAUGCGGGAUAAUUAGUUCCAUCAUGUGCAAGUUCUUCAUAGCCCGGAGGUUGAGUUUGUGUUUGCAUUUUCCGUUCUUCUUUCCCUGUUCGUCUGUUCUUCUUCUGGCGAGAGCGGGUGGCGAGAGCGGGUGCUGAUAACGUGUUAGAAAAAGAAGGGACUGAAGCAAAUGAUGCGUAACUUUUUCAUUCAAUGAUGGUGUGUAUUUAUACAUAGUGAAACGACAGAAAACUUGUCCGUUCGCUAAAGACGGUUUCCUCGUCGUAGGAGAGAGGGAAAAGGUGCCUGUUCGGAAACAGGAUUUACAUAAAGGAAUAUUAUUAACACUAAUCCUAUUAACUAAUGACCGUCGAUCUUGUUAAUCUCCACCUUUGAUAUUAAGUGUGUUUCUUCCUCCGGAUUGCUGACGUGGACGAAAUCAUUUUAUCCUUAACAAGCGCAACAUGCAGGACAUCCACGGACCAGUAGCAGUACAACGGGGCUCCAAUCGACGUCCAACGGACGCUC